UAUCGCUAACCGCCCACCUAAUCGCACCUCGAAAUUAGCGCUAAUCCAAAAUUUAACGCCUAAAAAAACCUCAAAAAAUCCACCGGGGAGCCGGUGCCCCAUCCUACCUACGCCACUGGCUCCCAUCCCGCCGCUGCCUCCAUGGCGAGAACCAUGGCCAGAAGAGGAGGACGAGCACAGCAACGACGCCCCCGUCGUCCUCUCUCCCCGUCCUUAAUAGGUGUGCCGACACCCCUCUCCAUCUCCGACUGCUGCUACUGCGACACGGCGGCAUGGAUCUGACGUCUCCGAGCUAUCUCGACGCGGUAGCCCAUGGGAUCCGAGCGAUGAAGGGGCCUCGCCAUGGCCUUUGUUCUCCACUUAUUCGUUCUCUCAUCCGUGGCAGCUAGAUCUUGUAGGCCUCAAGCACCACCACCAACAGGAUCCAGGCGAGCGUACGGAUGCUCCUCCACCGUCCCGUCACAUGUGUGGCCGCCGUCCAACGGGCGAGACUGAGCACCGCCACUUGAUGUGCAGGUAAGGAUGUACCUCCGUUUGCAUCAAGAGAAUUCCCCAUUUAAGGACAAAUACUCCCCCCGUUCCUAUAUAGAAGCCCUUUAGAGAUUCCAAUAUGGACUACAUACGGAGGAAAAUGAGUGAAUCCCAGUCUAAAAUAUGUCUAUAUACAUCCCUAUGUAGUCCCUAGGGACAUCUCAAAAAUGCUUAUGUUUAGAAACGGAGGGAGUAGAUGAUAGUACAUCAAGUGUCUUAAUUUUUGUACCACAACUAAUAUUUGAACUUUUGCUUUUCCCAAAACUCUCAGAUGUAGCAUGCGAGAUUUACAAAAUGGUUUGGGAUUUUAGAAUUGAUCUAUGCAUUGGAGUGUAACUGUAGUUGGAGUAACCAUACGCAGAUGGACAUUGCAAUUUAAGACCUCAAAACAAUGGUCCAGCAAAUUCUUCCCCUGA